AUACGGAGGGUGCAAGCGUUAAUCGGAAUUACUGGGCGUAAAGCGCUCGUAGGCGGUUUGUUAAGUCGGAUGUGAAAGCCCUGGGCUCAACCUGGGAACUGCAUUCGAUACUGGCAGGCUAGAGUAUAGUAGAGGCAAGUGGAAUUCCGGGUGUAGCGGUGAAAUGCGUAGAUAUCCGGAGGAACAUCAGUGGCGAAGGCGACUUGCUGGACUAAUACUGACGCUGAGGAGCGAAAGCGUGGGGAGCAAACGGGAUUAGAAACCCCGGUAGUCC
rnacentral:rRNA from 1 species